rnacentral:rRNA from 1 species
UACAUUUGACAUACUUGGCAAAACUAUAGAGAUAUAGCGGAGGUUAACCAAUGUAC